GUGCUUUUUGUGCAGCUUCUUCUCCACAUGCUGUGGGGCCUGGUCUGUGUUUCUGUCCCUGGUGUGUGUGUGUCAGGCUUGGUUUUUGGAGAGGAGAACCAAAGGGUUGUUUUGCUUUGGAGGUCACUCUUUGGGGCCUCUUUUUUGGGGUUUCCCAUCAGCUCCCAUUUCUUAUGAGGCCCUUGUCCCAGAUUCCAGAGGCUUGGCCCUCCCCAGAUGUCUUCCUCCAGCUCUCCUGUUGUCGUCUGACCCUAAAUGCCACCCUCCAGUUUUGGGGGAGGGCAGUUGUGUAAACUAGGGGAAUCCCUUUUAAGAAGAGAAUGCUGUCCUAGACUUCGCCAGGCAUCUCCUCCCUCCUCCUCUCUGAUCCUUCCUGGGGCGAGCCUGCCCUUGCAGGCGACCCCCGACGCCCCAGCUCCUGUGCUUCCCAGUUCUGAGCAUCUCAUCUGUCUUCGCUGCAGUGUCAGCCCAAGCUGGCUCCUGAACCACUGUGUGCCCAUUUCCUAGGGAAGGGGAGGGAGAAGAAACAGAAUAUUUAUUACAAAGGUAGAAAUAUAUUUAUUAUAUUAGGGAUCUCAUUUGCAUUUGCAUGGGAUAUGCAAAUGAGAUGUAAAGGUUAAGCCAGCUCUCAUCUCAUUUGCAUAGCUCUGCAUCCACUAUGCAGUCAUCUUUAUACUUGUCUUUUCCCUCUAGUCAGUGUUCUUUUAGUCUUAGUUCAGCUCUCCCUUGCAUCACCCUCGCCUUCAGUCUAAGGGGACCGGGAGUGGGAGGAAAAUGGGGUGUUUUCCUGCUGGUCUGAUGCCACAAUGUCUUU